rnacentral:tRNA from 2 species
GCCGGGGUGACAGAGCGGUAAUGUGCCGGUCUCGAAAACCGGUGGUGCUUGGCGCCACAAGGGUUCAAAUCCCUUCCCCGGCGCCA